GAGGGUAUAGCUUAAGUGGUAGAGCACAUGCUUAGCAUGCAUGAGGUCCUGGGUUCGAUCCCUAGUACCUCCA
rnacentral:tRNA from 1 species